AGCGUGCGCGCGGCCAGGAAGCUUGGGCGGCGGGUCCUGCCUGUGACUGCUGUGGAGGCUGCUGGUCCUGCCUGAAACGGCCGCGGAGGCGGCGGCUGUUCCAGACACCUGCGGCGGCGGCGACCCCCCGGCGGCGCGGAGAUGUGGCCCUUGGUGGCAGCGCUGUUGCUGGGUUCGUUUUGCAGCGGUUCAGCCCAGCUACUAUUUAAUAAAACCAAAUCAGUAGAAUUCACCUUUUGCAAUGAAACUGUUGUCAUCCCAUGUUUUGUUAUUAAUGUGGGGGCACAAAACACUAACGAAAUGUAUGUGAAGUGGAAAUUUAAAGGAAAAUACAUUUUCAUCUAUGAUGGAGGCCAAGACAACGCUACUAUGGACAGUAACUUUUCAAGUGCAAAAAUCGCAGUCUCAGAAUUACUUAAAGGAGAUGCUUCUUUGAAGAUGGAUAAGCGUGAUGCGAAAGUAGGAAACUACACAUGUGAAGUAACAGAAUUAACCAGAGAAGGUGAAACCGUUAUAGAACUCAAAUAUCGUGUUGUGUCAUGGUUUUCUCCAAAUGAAAAUAUUCUCGUCGUUAUUUUCCCAAUUUUGGCUAUACUUCUCUUCUGGGGACAAUUUGGCAUUUUAACACUUAAAUAUAAAUCCAACUGUACAAAUAAGAAAAUCAUCCUUUUACUUAUCGCUGGACUACUGCUCACUACAAUUGUCAUUGUUGGAGCCAUUCUCUUUGUCCCAGGAGAAUAUUCAGUAAAGAAUGCUUCAGGACUUGGUUUCAUCGUAAUUUCUACAGGGGUAUUAAUAUUACUUCAGUACAAUGUGUUUAUGACAGCUUUUGGGAUGACCUCCUUUACCAUUGCCAUAUUGAUCACUCAGGUGUUGGGCUAUGUGCUCGCUGUGGUUGGACUAUGUCUCUGUAUCAUGGCGUGUAUACCAGUGCAUGGCCCUCUUCUGAUUUCAGGUUUGGGUAUCAUAGCUCUAGCAGAAUUACUUGGACUAGUUUAUAUGAAAUUUGUGGAGUGCAGAGAGAGACCUUCGGUCAGUUGAAAGGCAAGAAGAGAAAAGCUUCUAAUCAGAGGACUAUACAAGCUCCUAGGAAAGCUGUAGAGGAACCACUUAAUGCGUUUAAAGAAUCAAAAGGAAUGAUGAAUGAUGAGUAACUGAAGUGAAGUGAAGGACUCUGGUUUGGAGAGUCAUGGAACCUGAAGGAGUACACUUGUAUUUAAAGACCCCGGCCUUGAUGAUUCACUCUUGGGAAGAAGAAAAAAAAAAAAAAAGAAAAGUAACUGGUACUCGUCUGUAAGAGAAAAUAAGUCAUUGACCCGUAAAUGAUUAUCACAGUUUUUAUUCAAAACAACUGUAAUUUAGUUAAUAAAAGAUUUAUGAUCUGUGUCGUGUGCCCGGUUGAGAUCCAAUUUUCUGUUAUUUCUAUUUAAUUGGGGACAAAAGUAGAGGGAGCAACUUCCAAGGAUGAUACUUUCCAUAUCCUCGGGCCUCUGGACUCUGGGUUUAAAUUGGUUCAGGGUGAGAAUGACCUAACACUAACCUGAUGGUCACCCAGAAACAUCUGUGAAAAUCAGUGGCUUCCAUCCAAGCUUAGUAAACUCAGGUUCCCAGCAUCCAUGGCAGUUAGGCUGUUAGCUGAAUAAGGUGUCUGCCACUUCUGGGUCGGGAAUAGUGACUUAAGUGGAGACAGGAAUUUGGUUGGGAACAUCAUGUAUGCCACUUACCUGUGCUAUGACGUCACUGGAUAUAGGGGUCUUCAUUCUUGGGGGUUGCCAUUCGCAGAGUGUCCCUUCAGCCUACAGUGUGACAGAUACUUCCCAGAUAUGGGUUGCUUUUAUUGACGGGUGUGUUUUUCUUUAAUUUACACAACCCUUGGGACCCUUCCUUGCCCUCCUCUGACUCGCUUCUGCUGUACCCGAUGUAGCACCUUUUCUCCUCUCUGAACAUGGUCCAGUGACGCAGUAGCAUCAGUUGCAGAAAGGAGCCAGACUUGUUUUCAGAGCACUGUGUUCACACUUUUCGGCAAAAAUAGCUAUGGUUGUAACAUAUGUAUUCCCUUCCUCUGGUUUGAAGGCAAAACUCUACGGUGUUUCUUCACUUAUUUUCUGAUUGGAGGCAUGACAAAAGCAAGACUGAAAUCUGAACUGUGAGUCUCCUGCAUGGCAACCUUCUGUGUGUCUCCAUCAGGCCGUGGGCCAGCCCUCGAGGGGGGCGCUCCUCCUGUUGUGUCUCUGUUGCAUGAUAACCACUCAUCUGCUUCCUCCUGUAGUCCUGCCUCCUGCUCCCCCUCCCCUGAGAUUGAAAAGUAAAACAGAACCACAUUUCCUACCCCAGUUAGAAGAAAAAAAUAACGUUCUGACAGUGUGAUCGCCUGGAGUACUUUUAGAUUCUUAGCACUCGUUUUUUACCUGGUUUGUGGAUGUGUGUUUGUAUGUGCACAUGUAUAAGGUAGGCUCCUGCUGCUUCUGUAGGGACAGAAGUGCUGUACCUACAGGAGAGCCAGUGCUGACUUUGUGCUUUUAAUAAAAACAUUUAAAAACAAAAGGUCCUUAUCAGGUGGAAUUAUAUUUGAUGCAAAUAUUUGAUCACUUAAAACUUUAAAAACUUCUAGGUAAUUCGCCAAGCUUUUUGACUGCUCACCAAUGCCCUCUAAAAAUACUAGUGAUUCUUCCUGUUUGUGUAAUGAGACUUUCAUAUUCGUAGUGCCAUCACUGAUAGUUAUUUCUUAGUCUCCUGGAUGUUUCCAUGUGCCUCUUUUAUGCCAAAUUUAUUGUCAUAUUUCACGUUGGGACCAAGUGGUUUGCCCAUGGCAGACCUAAACUUAUAACCUGCUGAGGCCCCUCAGAAAAUUGAACAUACUAUCAAAACAGUUCUUCCCUGAUUGAGUAGCUGUCCAAAAUAUUAGUCUAUGGAGAGGGAGCUGUAUUUCUUUAUACAAAUCUAAUGGCUCCUGCUGCUCUUCUCCUGAAAAUAUUUGCACUUUGCUAAUAUCGUUUGUUACUUUAGAAAUUAGUUUUGAUGAAAAGAGCAAAAAAAGCAGAUGGACUUGAAAAAGAUCCAAAUUCUUAUUCUCCAUUAAGAAAAUCAGGUAUGAAAAUCUUUAUAGUAAAAUUUUUUAAUGAACUAAAGUUGUACCUUUUAAUAUGUUGUAAACUCUCCUUUAUUUGGGGUUCAGUCUCAAGUCUGACCAUCUGUUGUGUUCUCUUUGAUGCUACCUGCCUUUUGAGGUGUUCACUGCCCCAGACAAUGCCACUCGAGGUAGCAGGGGAAAUGCCAGACGCAAUCAACUCUUGCUCUUAACCAUCCUCUUCUCCAGCUAAGGGACCACAGCAGCAGCAGUCCUUCUGCCUGGGCAUCAUUGGGACAGUUUAUUCUCUUUAAAUCAGACUUGUAAUGGCUCCCAAUUCUGUCACAUCAGAUAUAACUUGCUAACAGUGUUUUGAGCAUCAUAGAUUGUUUUGCCCCAUAAGAUGCUUUUUACUCCCUGAUCCCAAUUUUUGCCAUCAUCUUCUCCAUUCGGUUUUAUUUAUUCUACAUUCUCAAAGUGACACCAUUUGUCAUUUUCUGCAACAACCUUUUCAGCCUUUUUGGCCAAAUCACAUUUUUCUUUUCCUUCAAUACAUACUGCUCCAGCCCUUCCUCCCCCACUGGCUGUCCUUUGCAGUCUGUCCUCAUCUGUCUAGCAGCCUCUUUCAUCUCUUUCUUACCCUUCCUUAGUACUUCAUUUAUCUUGGCUUUAGUUAUGUCGGGGUUUUUUGUCUUGCUUUUCUCACUGGAUUUUAAAAUUGCUUCCAUAGCAAGAGCUUCUCUCUCUUCCUUUCUCUCUUGCUGCUGUGUGCGGUGUUCUGCGGACAUUAGAUACUCCGUACAUAAGUUUGAUGAUUGGCUGUAUUUCGAUUUCUCACUAUUUUUAAUAGGGUGAGCUAGAGACUUUUCUUUUUUGACAAAUUGCACAUGCUCGGAAAACCUUAAAGGGAAAUGAUUUUUUUUUAACCUGGAAAUUUCAGGUCCAUUCUGUUAAAAAUUCUUGAGAAUAUCAGAGUUAAUUUGGCUAUCCCAUAAUUGGGAGUAUUGCUCUUUUCAGACUUCUCUUGCCAAUUUAGUAAGUGUCCGACCGAAUUGUGAUCUAAUAAAGCUCAAAAAGUGAUAAGUUUGCUCCUUCAUCUCAUUAAUUUAAAAAAGGCUACAUCACCUUCUAGAUGUCUCUCAUCUUACAAAGGGUGUUCAAAAGUGGCGAUAGGUGGUUUAUGUCUGGAAAUACAUACCUUUAUUUACCUCUUGUUGGAAACUGGAGAAAUAAUUGUCUGGCUACUCUUUACAUUUUCUUUGUGUUUUAUUUGAUUGAGGGUUUAUUUAGAAAUAUUAGUUUUGCAUGUGUGUCUUAUAUUCAAAAUCACUAACUGCCAUCACCCACUGGGGGUCCUUUUAGUUUAAUAGGGAUAAUCCAAGUUAACUUUGAAGAGAUGAGCAGUGACCAGGAAGUUUUCCUGCCUUUAACUUUGAUAGCUCUUAAUUAUGAUCCUGUAAGACCAGCUUUUCCAUAAAUCCAGUCUUUUAAGGAAAAAAAUAAAGCAAGCCUUUGUAAUAAGCUUCUCUGUAAGACAACAGCAGUGGAAUCUUCAAAGUGUUGUUAUCAAGAUUGUUGAGAGAGGGAAACAUUUUUGUUUUUAUUAAAUGAAGCAUUAUUUGCAAAAAGCCAUUGUUAAGAAGUAGAUCCUGCAUCAUACAAAUAUCCAUUAACCAUUCUCAAUAAAGAGAACUCUGGUGUUGCUAUGUGUUAGAUGCUCUCUUGGGGGCUUUUUUGCAUAGCAAUUAAAGUUGUGCUCUUUGUCAGUAGCCAUUUUUUUGCAGUGAUUUAAAGACCAAAGUUGUUUUACAGCUGUGUUACUGUUAAAGGUUUUUUCUUUUUUUUAUAUGUAUUAAAUCAAUUUAUCACUGUUUGAAGCUUUGAAUAUCUGCAACCUUUGCCAAGGUUCUUUUUUUAUUUAAAAAAGACAUAACUUUGUAAAUAUUACCCUGUAAUAUUAUAUAUACUUAAUAAAACAUUUUAAGCUA